GGGUGUGAGGGCCAUUUGGCUGUGACAUCUGUCACCCCAUUGAUCUCCAGGGUCGAUUCGGCUGAUCUGACUGGCCAGGCAGGUGUCCUCUUCCUCCCUCUCCACUCCAUGUGCGUCCCUCCCAAAGCUGCAUGCUCAGUUGAAGAGGACAACCAUCCCCGAUAGAGGAGGUCCUGUCUUCAGUGAAGGGUAUAUGGGUAGCUGUGCUUCCCUGCUAGAACCUCCAAACAAGAUCAAGAGAAGCUACAUUCUGAAAGACCUCAUGGAGAAGUUGUAACCUAUAACUUGGUAUCAUAAACAUUUGAAUGAUCCACUGCAUUGUGGUAGUUUGACCCUGUC
rnacentral:snRNA from 1 species